CCGGCACGGGUGAGUAACACGUAUCCAACCUGCCGUCUACUCUUGGCCAGCCUUCUGAAGGAAGAUUAAUCCAGGAUGGCAUCAUGAGUUCACAUGUCCGCAUGAUUAAAGGUAUUUUCCGGUAGACGAUGGGAAUGCGUUCCAUUAGAUAGUAGGCGGGGUAACGGCCCACCUAGUCAACGAUGGAUAGGGGUUCUGAGAGGAAGGUCCCCCACAUUGGAACUGAGACACGGUCCAA
rnacentral:rRNA from 1 species